GUUAAGAUUAAUUAACAUACUUAAUUAAUGGACAAUCUCUACAUGUAUUAACCGUCGACGGAUGCUAUUUCGGCAACCAUCGUGCCGGUUCACAUACAGACGCCUCUCCAAUGAGGCGUCCUCCCUGUACCUAUAUAUGUAGAAUCAUCAAUGAAAGAGAGGAGGGUUCCAUUCAUUUUGUUUUGGUUCUCAACACGUUAUCAGCACGCUCCCGAGAGCGAUUUGGUCGAGAGAAAAAGCGACGGCGCGACCGCUCUCCAGCCAUGGCCUCUCCUGCAAAGGUCAUGAUAGCGGCCACCGGCCGGCGUCACCUCCCUCCGGUCGUCGUUGUGGGUCCCCUUCCCCCGCGCGGCGCUCGCGCCCGGAGUAGCCAGGCUACGCCCGCCCGCGUCGAGGCCUCGCCCUCGCACGCUGCGCCAGGCCAUGGCCACGCUUGCCUGCGCCGAGGCUUCGCCCUCGCUCGCCCGGCGCUCAUCCGUCGCGCCUGGCCGUGCGCC
rnacentral:rRNA from 1 species